rnacentral:rRNA from 1 species
CAGGCCUAACACAUGCAAGUUCGAGCGCCGUAGCAAUACGGAGCGGCAGACGGGAGAGUAACACGUGGGAACGUGCCCUUCAGUUCGGAACAACCCAGGGAAACUUGGGCUAAUACCGGAUACGUCCGUAAGGAGAAAGAUUUAUCGCUGAAGGAUCGACCCGCGUCUGAUUAGCUAGUUGGUGGGGUAAUGGCCCACCAAGGCGACGAUCAGUAGCUGGUCUGAGAGGAUGAUCAGCCUCACUGGGACUGAGACACGGCCCAGACUCCUACGGGAGGCAGCAGUGGGGAAUAUUGGACAAUGGGCGCAAGCCUGAUCCAGCCAUGCCGCGUGGGUGAUGAAGGCCCUAGGGUUGUAAAGCCCUUUCGGCGGGGAAGAUAAUGACGGUACCCGCAGAAGAAGCCCCGGCUAACUUCGUGCCAGCAGCCGCGGUAAUACA